rnacentral:rRNA from 1 species
GAUGAACGCUGGCGGCGUGCCUAAUACAUGUAAGUCGAGCGAACGGACGAGAAGCUUGCUUUUCUGAUGUUAGCGGCGGACGGGUGAGUAACACGUGGAUAACCUACCUAUAAGACUGGGAUAACUUCGGGAAACCGGAGCUAAUACCGGAUAAUAUUUUGAACCGCAUGGUUCAAAAGUGAAAGACGGUCUUGCUGUCACUUAUAGAUGGAUCCGCGCUGCAUUAGCUAGUUGGUAAGGUAACGGCUUACCAAGGCAACGAUGCAUAGCCGACCUGAGAGGGUGAUCGGCCACACUGGAACUGAGACACGGUCCAGACUCCUACGGGAGGCAGCAGUAGGGAAUCUUCCGCAAAGGGCGAAAGCCUGACGGAGCAACGCCGCGUGAGUGAUGAAGGUCUUCGGAUCGUAAAACUCUGUUAUUAGGGAAGAACAUAUGUGUAAGUAACUGUGCACAUCUUGACGGUACCUAAUCAGAAAGCCACGGCUAACUACGUG